UUUGGCUUCAGUUUCAGCGACCGGGAAAGGGCGAAGCCGCUCUCUAAAAUACCCUGGUGUGAGCCAGCUUUGUUGCUUUGAAGAUGGGGAUCUGGUCUUCAGAAUACCGCAAUAUCUCUAAUAAAAUAGAGAAAUUAUAAAACCAUAGAAAACUCCAUUGCUGUCUUGCAGUCUUACUGCCAUUAAUGGGAGCUUUACACUCAAUUACC